AUUGAACGCUGGCGGCAGGCCUAACACAUGCCAGUCGAGCGGAUGAAGGGAGCUUGCUCCUGGAUUCAGCGGCGGACGGGUGAGUAAUGCCUAGGAAUCUGCCUGGCAGUGGGGGAUAACGUCCGGAAACGGGCGCUAAUACCGCAUACGUCCUGAGGGAGAAAGUGGGGGAUCUUCGGACCUCACGCUAUCAGAUGAGCCUAGGUCGGAUUAGCUAGUUGGUGGGGUAAAGGCCUACCAAGGCGACGAUCCGUAACUGGUCUGAGAGGAUGAUCAGUCACACCGGAACUGAGACACGGUCCAGACUCCUACGGGAGGCAGCAGUGGGGAAUAUUGGACAAUGGGCGAAAGCCUGAUCCAGCCAUGCCGCGUGUGUGAAGAAGGUCUUCGGAUUGUAAAGCACUUUAAGUUGGGAGGAAGGGCAGUAAGUUAAUACCUUGCUGUUUUGACGGUACCAACAGAAUAAGCACCGGCUAACUUCGUG
rnacentral:rRNA from 1 species